rnacentral:rRNA from 1 species
UACAGAGGGGGCAAGCGUUGUUCGGAAUUACUGGGCGUAAAGGGCGCGUAGGCGGCCUUCUAAGUCGAACGUGAAAUCCCCGGGCUCAACCCGGGAACUGCGUCCGAUACUGGAAGGCUUGAAUCCGGGAGAGGGAUGCGGAAUUCCCGGUGUAGCGGUGGAAUGCGUAGAGAUCGGGAAGAACAUCAGUGGCGAAGGCGGUCUGCUGGGCCGUUGCUGACGCUGAGGCGCGACAGCGUGGGGAGCAAACAGG